UGCGGGGUGGAGCAGCCUGGCAGCUCGUCGGGCUCAUAACCCGAAGGUCGCAGGUUCAAAUCCUGCCCCCGCUACCA
rnacentral:tRNA from 2 species